GUUAUAUCUAUUUCAGCAGAGCUCAUCUAUUAACUGCCUGUUAGAUGAUGGGUCCUGAGUCAGGUGCUGAGGAAUACAAUGAUAAACACAGUUGUAUAGGUCAGAUAUGUUAUUGAUGAAGUAUAUGAGAUGAAGAGAAAUGAGAUAAACCCACAAUCCUACAGCUAAUAUUUGAGAAAAUCAUCACUCCAAUCUAGGUUUUUGACCCCAAAUCUAAUUUCCUAUGUAAUGUCCUUACCUUGUUUGCACAUCUCCUGCAACUCCUAAAUGCCCAGGGACCAAGACUAUAUUCCUUAAUGAGGCACUCCAGGCUCUUUACUAGGUCAGUCCACAUUUCCAGCCUCAUCUUUCCUGAACCACCUUUCUGUAUCCCUUACUUGAGCCAGCGGUCAGGUCUCAUCCAGUGCCUCAAACUCUCUGCCUCUUUCUUCUUCUUUGUCUCAAACCCACUCACCCUCAAAGACCAAGAUAAGAAUCCACUUUUUCCACUUUCCUAAUGUUUCAAACUUGACACAUUUUCCCUUUCCUUCCAUUUCAAAGAAUACAGAGUAUCAAUAUUAUACCUAUAUUUAGCUCAUCAAAAAAAAAGUUUAAAUAUCUGAAUCAGCAUCAGAUUUGGAGUCAGAGAAAUCUGAUCGUGAAGCCUCUUUUUGCCACUUUAUAAAGUCACUUCACUUCUCAAACUCCUAGUUUCCUUCUCUGUAAAAUAGGGCAGUAAUGCCUUCAUGACUAGUUUGUUGUGAGAGAAAAUAAUCUAAAGCUGGUGUCUCCAUGCAGGGCCCACAGCAAGUUCUCAGCAAUAUUGAUUAUUGGUCUUCUCCUCCCCUCCUCUGGGCCCUGACUUCCAUGCCCUAAGUUGAAUCUCCUCUCCCCAGCUAGGUCAUAAGUGUAUUCCCCUCCAACAAUUGAGCUGAUUCUCUCACUAUCAUGGCAGUGCAGUGCAUGGAAACCAUCCUGUGCUCAUCCUUUCCUAACCCCACCCAAGAUUUUUAUUCUCUUUUUACAGGGAAAGAAAUAGGAAAGUAACCUAUCUGAAUUCACAUCAUGAACUAGGUCUGCCACACAUGUGUCUGAUAGUUUACUUCAUUUUUAGCACUACAUAAAUUGUAAUUAUCUUGCUUAUUUUUCUCUGUUCUUUUAUGGAGUGUAGUUUCCACAAAGACAGGAAUUUUGUCUUGUUAGUUCUAGCUUAUAGUUGGUUUUUUUUUUUUCAU
rnacentral:lncRNA from 1 species